rnacentral:rRNA from 1 species
CACUCCUGCGGGAGGCAGCAGUGGGGAAUAUUGGACAAUGGGCGCAAGCCUGAUCCAGCCAUGCCGCGUGAGUGAUGAAGGCCCUAGGGUUGUAAAGCUCUUUCACCGGUGAAGAUAAUGACGGUAACCGGAGAAGAAGCCCCGGCUAACUUCGUGCCAGCAGCCGCGGUAAUACGAAGGGGGCUAGCGUUGUUCGGAUUUACUGGGCGUAAAGCGCACGUAGGCGGACUAUUAAGUCAGGGGUGAAAUCCCGGGGCUCAACCCCGGAACUGCCUUUGAUACUGGUAGUCUUGAGUUCGAGAGAGGUGAGUGUAAUUCCGAGUGUAGAGGUGAAAUUCGUAGAUAUUCGGAGGAACACCAGUGGCGAAGGCGGCUCACUGGCUCGAUACUGACGCUGAGGUGCGAAAGCGUGGGGAGCAAACAGGAUUAGAAACCCUAGUAGUCCCAUGA